rnacentral:rRNA from 1 species
UUCAUCCUACGGGGGGCAGCAGUGGGGGAUAUUGCACAAUGGGGGGAACCCUGAUGCAGCGACGCCGCGUGGGUGAAGAAGCGCCUCGGCGCGUAAAGCCCUGUCAGCAGGGAAGAAAAUGACGGUACCUGAAGAAGAAGCCCCGGCUAACUACGUGCCAGCAGCCGCGGUAAUACGUAGGGGGCAAGCGUUAUCCGGAUUUACUGGGUGUAAAGGGAGCGUAGACGGCAUAGCAAGUCUGAAGUGAAAGCCCGUGGCUCAACCGCGGAACUGCUUUGGAAACUGUUAAGCUGGAG